rnacentral:rRNA from 1 species
CCUACGGGGGGCAGCAGUGAGGAAUAUUGGUCAAUGGCCGGAAGGCUGAACCAGCCAUGCCGCGUGAAGGUCAGUGCCCUAUGGGCGUUAAACUUCUUUUGUGCGGGAGCAAUAAUGGUCACGUGUGGCCAGACGAGAGUACCGUACGAAUAAGCAUCGGCUAACUCCGUGCCAGCAGCCGCGGUAAUACGGGGGAUGCAAGCGUUUUCCGGAUUUAUUGGGUUUAAAGGGUGCGUAGGCUGUGAGGUAAGUCAGCGGUGAAAUGCCCCCGCGCAACGGGGUGAAGUGCCAUUGAUACUGGCUUGCUGGAGUGCGGAUGACGUGGGAGGAAUGUGUGGUGUAGCGGUGAAAUGCAUAGAUAUCACACAGAACACCGAUUGCGAAGGCAGCUCACGAAUCCGCGAUUGACGCUGAUGCACGAAAGCGUGGGUAUCAAACAGGAUUAGAUACCCCUGUAGUC